rfam:Ovis aries breed Texel chromosome 2, whole genome shotgun sequence.
UACCCAGUGGCUGAGUGGUAAAAGAAUCUGCCUGCAAUGCAGGAAGCACCAGUUCAAUUCCUGGGUCG